UUCCGUAUUUUUUUAAUUACGCUUUGCAUUGUGGGAACAAGAAGUUCAGUCGAUUAUCGGCGCGAAAACAGUGCUUGAGCAGACGCCAUUAUUCACAGAGACAGUCUCGGUAAAAAUUUCAUUUUAAAGUCGGAUUUCGGGUUUGAGGAACCGUUUUUACACUUCCGUGGUAAAUUAUAUUUUGUUAAAUGUAACAAACUGUAACGUUAACUUAGUUGCUGUCUUCCUUGUUUGCCAAAUGAAUGUCAUUUGACAUUUUCAGCACACCGUCACAUCUCACUCGACCUGGAGAGAUUAUACGACUAGGUGAAGAUCUGACAUCGCGGAAUUCUUCAAGGAUAACGCAACUUUUCUGCCAAACGAGGUCGUAAUUGCUGCUGUAUUGUGCAUCCCAAGUACCCCCUGCAUUCUUAUCAAGGAUUGCUGUCAUUCAAGAACUUAUCAUUUCCUCCCCCAUUGUGGCUGAGCUACACAUUCUCUUCAUUUUAUUUUAAACAUAAAACAUCCAGAGGAGAUGGCACCUACGUUGGAAUUCAUACAAAUUCUUCCUGUGAAGAAAUCCUGAACGAGGGUCGACGGUUCAGAUGAAGGGAACCUAUGCUUCCAAGACUCCUGUAUGAACAACUUCGAGAAUCCAUGUACAAUUUGAGCUUUUUUUAAAUCUCAACAUGGAACUUGGACUGAACAUGCAGCAAAAGGAAAAAAAAAAUAGUUUCCCCAAGCUGGCACAUGGCAAGAGAUACUAAAAGCACACAAACACUUGGAGCCCUGCUGUUAAUUUAGAUUGUAUAGUUCUCUUAGUUUCACAUUGAAAUGUCAGGCAUGAGUGCAUGAAUCUUUGUUCUUUAUUUUCAAAUGAUGUACAAGAAAGGUUUUUUUUUUUUUUUUUCUUUGCAGUACCAUGUCAAUUGUAGAUGACAGAAUUCACAUUUUUGAUGUGAACUGUCCUUUUAAAUAACAUUUCACUUGACUAUUGACUAGAAGGCUGUAGCAAUUGUUAUUAAAUGACAGCCCUGGCUUUGUAUUAAUUUUUUCCCAUGUAUCUGAAAAUGUUUUGAAUCUUGACUGUUUCACAGUGAAGUUUGUGACCACUAUUUGGUGCAACCCCAAUAUUGUACAAGUAGCUGCUCAUGUUUUCUUUUUUCUGCCUGGUGCUGUUUAAAACUAAAACACAUUGUUAAAUUAAUUGAUGUCAUAAUAUUUUUGUCUUCACCUGUUAAAGGCAAAUAAAAGCUACUGAACGCACUUUUAAGAAUGUUUACAU